ACAAGUCUUUAUUGGUGCAACAACUGCUCAAAGAUGAUCGAGAGAAAGUCUUGAACCCUCUUCCUCUUGUUCCUGAAAUUGGAAGUGAAGAAGAGCCAAAUAUGGCUCCUGAUGAGAAUGAAGAUGAUCAGUUGCUUUGUAGAGUUCCUGUGUUCGAUCCGUUUGCAGCAAAAAUGUGUGAUAUAGUAACAAGUGAAGAUGAAAAUAUGGUUGUUGAAGUUUAUGGACAGGAAGGAGCAUGUGGCUUGGAUAACCUACCAGGGUUUUUGCCUUCAGACAUGGAUCUUGCUGAGUUUGCUGCAGAUGUUGAGAACUUACUGGGACGGGAAGCUGAUGAGGAAUAUCAUG
rnacentral:lncRNA from 1 species